rnacentral:lncRNA from 1 species
UUUUAACAACAGCUAGUGCCUGGUGUGGGGCUUACAGAUGUUGUCUAAGUUUCCACACAGCCCAGCUUUGUCAGCCAGCUCCAUCUUGACCUUGCCCUUGCAAUCCUGAGAUGUUCCUGAAGUGAAAUGCCUGUGUCAGUGGACUCUGCCAAAUGAGAUGGGGAUUUCCAGCGGCCAAGCCUGGGGGGGCUGUUUCCCUUGUGACCCAAGUAUCCUGGUCAUGAGCUGAUGGAAUCUGCAUUUGCAUGUACAGAGGAAUGGCUUUCCUUUGAAGGGUCAUUGACUGAAAAAAAUCACUAUUCAUGCAGAUCAAGUCUAGCUGUUCUACAAAUAUCUCUCUCGAUGCCUUCAGCGUGA